AAUGGAAAAGGCAUCUGUGUGUGACCAAAGCUUAACUGAAAACAGGCUUUCUCUUCUCUCAGUCUGGGAAAGCAAGGAGCUGCAGCCAGGAAGAGAACAAGCAGAGAUGCUCAUCUGGGGAUGGAAUGACAUGAGCCCCGCUGCAGCCCAGAAGUACACAAUCAGUGGCUGAAGGGCACAACCAGUUCCCCCAAGAUUGGGGUGUGGAAGGCACGAUCUCUCAGGCUAAGAGAUUUUCUUUUUCAGCAACCUCUACACCCAAUGUGGGGCUUGAACUCAACCCUGAGAUCAGGAGUUGCAUGUGCCAGCCCAGCGCCUUGCUCCAAAUGGUAAAGGACUCUAUCACAUAUCCAGCUGGUGACAAUGUAGGGCAGCAGACAAACAUCUCCAGGCCUGCAUCAUCUGGGUUCUCACACCGAGCUGUUAUCAUGAGUAUAAUAAACCUACUCCAUUCCUGAGCCCUCACUUCUAACUCUGCCCGAAGAAUCUGUCUAUGACAGAGAUACAGUCAAUGACACCGACUUGAGAUGCCCUAGCCUCCUGGCACCCAUAUUCCUAGUUCUGAUUUCUGUGGCUUCCCAUCACUCUGUUCUUCUGGACCCAAGUAGCUCCAUCAUUUAUUUUCCUCCAGCCCGAGCCCUGGGAGCACCUGAUGACUGAGGCUAAUAUCCUUAGAGUGAUCUUAUGACCCAAUGGCUUCUGGCCAUUACUCUCAGUUUAGAACCUUGUGUGUAGGAAGGACACAGUUUCAAAAUGCCCUAAAAAUAAUGAGAUCAAAGAUAAAUCUUAAAAGCCUGAGUGGUGAUCCUCAAGAUACUUUGGUUUAUAUGUGGAGUUUGGGUUUGUAUGUGGCCAGCUUCUUUGUCUUCUGGUGUUGUAAGGACACUUAGAGAGGGGCUGUUGCUUCUAAAAAUUUGGAUGCUGCCAUCUUCAGAACUGCCCUUCCUGGCUGGUGGAGGUUUUCCAAUGCUGCAGGAGGGCAGCUUUUCCUACUUCAGGUGCCUACCUGGGACUAUGACCUCAUCUGAAGGAAGGAGCUGGAACCCUUAGGGCUGGGAGGCUGUGGCUGGGGAAAAGGAAGGAUGGAAGAGGUGGAGUGGCCUUAGCUUGUUAUAGGUGCCUCAUUAUACACGUCUAAAUUUGGCUCUCUCUCAAGCCUGCUCAACCAAGGAAUGUGCAUGCAAGAAUUUUUUUUUUUUUUUUUUUUUUUUUUUUUUUUUAGCUGUAAUGAGUUUUGUUAUACCUCCCAUGCCAGAAACUUCUUUGAGGACAAACAGUAACAUAUGUAGAUAGACAUUACCUAGAUGUCCAGCAAGACAGGACACUAUGAUAUGCUAAGAGAAGAAAUUCAAAUGUUUAUGCACAUGUCACCAAAGCAUUUUAGCAUCUUCUUUUCACAUACACUCAGUCUGCAGAGCUGUGGGCAUGUUCACUUGCCCACUGCAGACAAGUAGAUGAGGUGGACAUCAGAGUACUCUAAGUCCUCUUGCCUAAUACAGCCAGAAGUAGAGAAAAUAUGAAUCUAGAUUCUCACUCACUCCCUGCCCCCAAUCUUUGAUUCUUGGCCAUUGUCUAACUUGUAACAGCCACAUGAUAAAGAACUUAUUAACUUGUAAUAUAAUGCAUGAAUAAGAAGGUAAAAAAAAAAAACUGCCCUUCCAACAGAAGGACUUUCUAAAUAUGAAACAAAACCUAGAAACCAGAAAUGAAAAGAUUCACAUGUUUGACUACAUCUAAACUAAACAUCUUUGCAAGGUAAAAAAUAUUUGUUAAGCAGAAUCAAAAGACACAUGACCUACUGGGGGAAAAUGUGUACCUUGUAUCACAGAUAAAUGUUUAAUUUUUCUAAGAACUUGGAAAAUAUCAACUAAAAAAACUACCAACCGAAUAGAAGAAAUAAUAAAGGCUAUUAAUAGAUAUUUAAUAGAAAGGAAUAUACAAGUAGCUCUGAAAUGUGUAAAAGAUGAAAAAAUCUGGGCAGCCCCGGUGGCUCGGCGGUUUAGCACCUGUCUUCAGCCCAGGGCGUGACCCUGGAGACCCGGGAUGGAGUCCCACGUUGGGCUCCCUACAUGGAGCCUGCUUCUCCCUGUGUGUCUCUCUCUCUCAUGAAUAAAUAAAAUAAAAUAAAAAAGAUGAAAAAGUCUUAUUCAUAAGGGGAACUAAUUAAAAAUAUACUGGGAGACCAUCAAACUGACAAAGUCCAAAAAGUCUGAUAAACUAAAUUGGUGGGGAUUUACAGAAAUAGGCAUGGCCAUACAUUGUAAGUGGAAAUGUAAAACACUAUCUUUUAUGAAAUUUCCCAAUACUUACCAUAAUCACAAGUGCUUAUUUUUUAUUCCCUUCUAUGUUUAUCCUAAUAUACUCUUUUCUGUGAAAUGAUUCAUAUACAAUGCUAUUCAUCACAUCAUUAUUGAAAAAAAUAAAAUUUGGAAACAACUUAAAUGUCCAUCAACAGAGGGCUAAAUUAUGAUACCUUUAUGCAAGGGAACAGUUUUUUAGCUCAAAGGGAAUGAGCAUGCUUUUUCCUGUGCUGAUAGGAAAGAUUUUUAACCUAUAUUAAAUGGGAAAAAAAGAGAAGUACAAAAAAGUAUGGCCAUCUUUUUAUGGAACAAAAUGGGGAAACAGGUAUAGAUACUUGCUUGAAUAUAAAGUCGCUCCACAAGGAUACAUACACACAAAUGACAGACAGAUGUGAGGGAGAGACUUUGUGCAUAUCCUUUCAAGCUUCCUAAACUCUGUUCCAGGUGAAUGUA